GAUGAACGCUGGCGGCGUGCCUAAUACAUGCAAGUCGAGCGAACGGACGAGAAGCUUGCUUCUCUGAUGUUAGCGGCGGACGGGUGAGUAACACGUGGAUAACCUACCUAUAAGACUGGGAUAACUUCGGGAAACCGGAGCUAAUACCGGAUAAUAUUUUGAACCGCAUGGUUCAAAAGUGAAAGGCGGUCUUGCUGUCACUUAUAGAUGGAUCCGCGCUGCAUUAGCUAGUUGGUAAGGUAACGGCUUACCAAGGCAACGAUGCAUAGCCGACCUGAGAGGGUGAUCGGCCACACUGGAACUGAGACACGGUCCAGACUCCUACGGGAGGCAGCAGUAGGGAAUCUUCCGCAAUGGGCGAAAGCCUGACGGAGCAACGCCGCGUGAGUGAUGAAGGUCUUCGGAUCGUAAAACUCUGUUAUUAGGGAAGAACAUAUGUGUAAGUAACUGUGCACAUCUUGACGGUACCUAAUCAGAAAGCCACGGCUUACUACGUG
rnacentral:rRNA from 1 species